GUUCAAUAUAACUCUCGAAUUCUAUUGAGGGAUGUGGAAUUUGCCAAAAAUAGUGGGUGGUACUAUUUGAUUAAAAGACCCAAUCAAAUAGUUUUAAACAAACAAUCUAAUAUGAUUUCUGUUAUGUUAUGUAGUUAACGACAUGCCUAAAAUUAUACCCACCAUUAUACUUGACAAAAGGGGCCUUAAGGGCCAACAUUUCCUUGCUUGGUAUCGCCACAUUGAGAAUGUCUCAAAGGUGAAAGACAUAUUGUAUGUGCUUAAGCAAUCC
rnacentral:lncRNA from 1 species